ACGGAGGAUCCAAGCGUUAUCCGGAUUUAUUGGGUUUAAAGGGUGCGCAGGCGGACUAAUAAGUCAGUGGUGAAAUCUACAUGCUUAACAUGUAAUGUGCCAUUGAUACUGUUAGACUAGUAUGCAAAUGACGUAGCUGGAAUGUGUUAUGUAGCGGUGGAAGAAUUUGUUAUAACACAGCACACCAAACUUGUGGGCGGUUUAAGAAUAUUGUAUGGCCUCUCAAUCAUGCAGGGGUGUAUCUCAUACAG
rnacentral:rRNA from 1 species